UCCAACUCGGUGAUCAGGACUGAACACAGACGAGUCACCAUGGAGUUUGGACUGAGCUGCGUUUUCCUUCUUGCUGUAUUAAAAGGUGUCCAGUGUGAGGUGCAGCUGGUGGAGUCCGGGGGAGGCUUGGUGAAGCCUGGAGGGUCUCUGAGACUCACCUGUGUCGCCUCUGGAUUCACCUUUGAUGACUAUGCCAUGCACUGGGUCCGCCAGGCUCCAGGGAAGGGGCUGGAGUGGGUCUCAGCCAUUAGCUGGGACGGUGGUAGCACAUACUACGCUGACUCCGUGAAGGGCCGAUUCACCAUCUCCAGGGAAAACGCCAAGAACACACUGUAUCUGCAAACUGAAAAUGCGAGAGCUGAGGACACGGCCACGUAUUACUGUGCGAGAGACACAGUGAGGGGACGUCAGUGGGAGCCCAGACAAGAACCUACUGCAGGGACACACGAGACCACCAGGGGGCGCUCAGGACACACUGAGCUCAGGGGCCUCGUGCCAGUGGCAGGUGCAGAGGACACUGAGGUGUUUCCUGAAGACAUCAACGGUUUCGUGUCCUCUCCAAGGUCGGAGGUGUCUCCUGAGACACUUCAUGCCUUUUUCUUUGUGUUUUGA